rnacentral:rRNA from 1 species
GAUGAACGCUGGCGGCGUGCCUAAUACAUGCAAGUCGAGCGAACAGACGCGGAGCUUGCUCCUCUGACGUUAGCGGCGGAGGGGUGUGUAACACGUGUAUAACCCCCCUAUAAGACGGGGAAAACCUCGGGAAUCCGGAGCAAAUACCGUAUAAUAUCUUGCACCGCAUGGUUCAAUGGUGAAAGUCGGUUUUGCUGUCACUUCUAGAUGCAUACGCGCCGCAUUGGCUAGUUGGUAAGUUAACAGCUUAUCACGGCGAGGAUGCGUAGCCGAACUGAGAGGGGGGUCGCCCGCCCGAGAACUGGGACACGGACCAGGCGACUACGGUAGGCAGCAGUCGGGAAUCUUCGGCAGUGGGCGAAAACAUGACGCAGCGGCGCCGCGUGAGAGGUAGAGGUCUUCGGAUCGUAAAACUCUGUUAUUAGGGGAGAACAAAUGUGUAAGUAAAUAAGCACGUAUUGACGGUACCUGAUCAGAAAGCAACGGCUAACUACGUG